UAUUUGGUUAGGCAGCUUUUCUUAGUGAGGCCCACCCUGACUGAAAACCAUAGCUCUAAUUGUGCCUUACCUUUUUGAUCAACAUGUAAACCUCGGAAGUUUGCCCUGUUAUACAUAGCAAGUUCAGGGGCAAAGAAUUAUGGUGAUAGUUUUUCAGUCUAUGUUAAAGGAGCGAAUUGGGGUUUUAUUUAAACCACAAAUUUUCCUUCAGUUACGCUUAAAGUAAUAGUAGAACAUCUGUAUUGUUUUCAGUUUUACACUCUAUGACGGUUUAUAGUAUACAUGCAAAGAAGAAAGUGAAUCCUUAUCGCUAAUGGAUUGUCAAGCCUGUCAUUCUCUCCAUAGUAGCAAAGUAUUAUUUUGUCACUUGAGAUCAUAAGUUAACUGACCUAGAAAUAAAGGUGGACGUACGGGUGAGUUUCUAGUUGCUCUUUUAAUUCUACCUGUUUCACACAGGGUGUUUGAUCCCUUUCAACUCCUUAGUUUAACUGCUAUCUAGAAAAAUUAAUCAAGAAAUUAAAUUGGCGUUUGUGCU
rnacentral:lncRNA from 1 species